rnacentral:rRNA from 1 species
CCAAUAGCGUAUAUUAAAGUUGUUGCAGUUAAAAAGCUCGUAGUUGAAUUUCGGAAUCUGUCCGUUGGUCGGGCUUAACUGUCCGUACUGAUGUGAUGGGUUCUUACCUUCUGAAUAACCAGCAUGCCAUUUUUAGUGUGUUGGGGAAGCAGGACUAUUACCUUGAAAAAAUUAGAGUGCUCAAAGCAGGCUAGUGCCUGAAUACAUUAGCAUUGAAUAAUAAAAUAGGACGGCAUGGUUCUAUUUUGUUGGUUUCUAGGAUCACCGUAAUGAUUAAUAGGGAUAGUUGGGGGCAUUAGUAUUCAAUUGUCAGAGGUGGAAUUCUUUGAUUUAUUGAAGACUAACUUCUGCGAAAGCAUUUGCCAAGGAUGUUUUCAUUAAUCAAGAACGAAAGUUAGGGGAUCGAAGACGAUCAGAUACCGUCGUAGUCUUAACCAUAAACUAUGCCGACUAGGGAUCGGACGAUGUUAAUUUUAUAAUGACUCGUUCGGCGCCUUACG